AAUUGACUCCGCUAGGAUUAAAGUAGAAACUAGGAUUAGAUACCCUAUUAUUUUUAAUUUUAAAUUAAUACCUGAGUAGUAUUAGAAUUAUGCUUAAAACUCAAAAGACUUGGCGGUGUUUUAGACCUUUUAGGGGAGCUUGUCUCGUAAUCGAUAAUCCUCGUUAGACCUAAUUUUCUUUAUUAGUUUGUAUACCGUCGUCCUCAGACAGCUUUUUAAAAUUUAAUAGUUUGCAUUAUAUGUCAGAUAAAGGUGCAGCUUAUAAUAAAAUGAGGAUGAGCUACUAUUAUAAUAUUUAUAUUUCGAAUAGCUAUAUUAAGAAGAUGGACUUAAAAGUAA
rnacentral:rRNA from 1 species